rnacentral:rRNA from 1 species
CUGGCGGCGUGCUUCAUACAUGCAAGUCGAACGAUAAGGUCUCUUCGGAGAUACAUAAGUGGCGGACGGGUGAGUAAAAUGUAGAGAAUCUGCCCUAGAGUGGGGGACAACAGAGGGAAACUUCUGCUAAUACCCCAUAUGCGCGUAGCUGAGAUGCUAUUCGUGAAAACUCCGGUGCUCUGGGAUGAGUCUGCAUCUGAUUAGCUAGUAGGCGGUGUAAUGGACCACCUAGGCGACGAUCAGUAGCUGGUUUGAGAGGAUGAUCAGCCACAAUGGGACUGAGACACGGCCCAUACUCCUACGGGAGGCAGCAGUAGGGAAUUUUGCGCAAUGGGGGAAACCCUGACGCAGCAACGCCGCGUGACCGAUGAAGCCCUUCGGGGUGUAAAGGUCUGUCAGUGGGGACGAAACUUGACGGUACCCACAGAGGAAGCAUCGGCUAACUCCGUGCCAGCAGCGGC